UGUAACAGUCCGGAGUGCUCUGCCUGU
rnacentral:piRNA from 1 species